UACGUAUGGAGCAAGCGUUAUCCGGAUUUACUGGGUGUAAAGGGAGCGUAGACGGCAUAGCAAGUCUGAAGUGAAAUCCCAUGGCUUAACCAUGGAACUGCUUUGGAAACUGCCAGGCUAGAGUGCAGGAGAGGUAAGCGGAAUUCCUAGUGUAGCGGUGAAAUGCGUAGAUAUUAGGAGGAACACCAGUGGCGAAGGCGGCUUACUGGACUGUAACUGACGUUGAGGCUCGAAAGCGUGGGGAG
rnacentral:rRNA from 1 species